rnacentral:rRNA from 1 species
AAGGGGGGGCAACUCCCCUAGUAGAGUGGCGCACGGGUGAGUAACGCGUGGGUAAUCUGCCCUUGAGUGGGGAAUAACCUCGCGAAAGCGGGGCUAAUACCGCAUAACAUCCUCUGGCCUUCGGGUUGGUGGAUCAAAGAUGACCUCUGCAUGCAAGUUGUCGCUCGAGGAGGAGCCCGCGUCCCAUUAGCUAGUUGGUAGGGUAACGGCCUACCAAGGCUACGAUGGGUAGCCGGCCUGAGAGGGUGACCGGCCACACUGGAACUGAGACACGGUCCAGACUCCUACGGGAGGCAGCAGUGAGGAAUAUUGCGCAAUGGACGAAAGUCUGACGCAGCGACGCCGCGUGGAGGAUGAAGGCCUUCGGG